ACGGAGUAGGUACCACUGGCACAGAAAAUUGAUAUAACCCAUCAUGAAUGCAGCCCUUCAGCAACGUCUCUCGGGUCACGGCAUCCUUAAGAACACAAUGCAUAGGAUGAAACUAAAAAAACACUCCAUUAUCAUGCGCAAAUUGUAAAAGCGAUAAAAGAUUCUUUUUAUACUCGGCACACACAGAACAUUAGACAAACGUAAUGACUUAGAUUGAGUAGGAAGAACAUCAUUACCAAUUGAUGAAAUCACUACAGGAGUACCAUCACCCAUUAAAAGAGAUGACAUACCUGAAUAUGGCGUGACAUCAUGUAGAGCGGACACAUCACGACAGACAUGAUGACUCGCACCAGAAUCAAGAUACUAGGAAGUAGUGCCAACAUGCAUAGGAACAUAUGACCCAUCAUUACCAGAAUUUAUAGGAACCAGGAGAGUCAAAAUAAUGAGAAGCAUGCAAAUCACUUAACUGAUGAAGCCCAAUAUACACCUGAGUGCGCGGUUUAGUAGACCGCAGACUCGGACCAACACUAAUCGGACCAGUAGGUCG
rnacentral:lncRNA from 1 species